UGGAUGGGAGAGUAAAAGCACUGUGAGCGAGUGUAGACGCCGAUUAAACGGUUGGCCCAGUGGGAAGACUGACCUUAUUUCAAUUCUCCUACUGAGAGUGACGACGCAGCCUCAAGCACCAGGGAUGCCGUGAUUGCAUGAGACACGGAGUUCAGCCUCUGCAGUGACCUCUGGAAGAGGAAGCAACUGGACGUUUCCUCUGCACAUUGUCUUGUGCAAAGAUACAAGGGAGAAGUUUCCUUGGUGCUGCUAUGCUGCCAUCAUUUGCUGCCCGCAUUCAUAUCGGAAGCAAAAUCUAUGAUUCAGCGAGAGGGAGGUUUAAGCCUGACAGACUCCACCUCCUGCUACACUGCACUCUACCCCCUGGACAGUGACGCCCCGAGGAAAGGGUCCAUUUCUCUCCAUCUCUGCGCCUACACAGCCCCGCACACACGUGGGCCCGGAUGAUUCCUGGAGGAAGCUACCUCUUUGGCCAUGGGGAUCAGCACUGAGCAGAAAUUCCACCCAUGCCCUCCCAUGUGUGGUCCACACCAGCAGCCACGCUGUCCCCAGGAGCAGGAAUGGGCUAGAAAUGCAGACUCUUGGGCCCCGCCGGCCCUCCAGCAAGGCCCCAGGCCACUGAAUGUGCAGUCAAGUUGAGGACUCCGCUCUGGAAACAAAAGGAGACGCUGGCAGGAGACGGCACGUGGCCGCGUCAGAGAAGAGACGUGCUCCGUGGCUGCGUGUGGGGCAGCCAGAGCGAGCUCAGCCACUGACCGAAUCAUUAGCCACGCGUCCAUGCAGGAGCGCAGCCGGUCAGCAUCCACAGUCUUGACAGGGCGGGCUGGAGACACAGCUCUGCCCCUCCAUGAGGAAACAGCUGGGUUUUCUUAUCUGCUUCUUCAUUCAAUCUGGUGCAUAUGAAAAAAGCCUGGCCACACACAGAUAUGGAUUUGGAAAUUAAGAGGAGGACUGAAUUCAGAUGGCAUGAAGAUUCGCCUGGUUUUGCCACGUUGCCGUUCACCUGCCUCCUUGCACACCUGAGUUCAGGAGCCUCAUCCUUCCACUAGAGGGCGUGGCGUCAUAGAUGCCAACUGUGCCACCUGGGCUGUCCCAGUGUUCUGACCUCAGCCCUUGAGAAGCAGGUCCUGUCCAGCGUUCCCUCACCAACGGACACCAGGGCCGUGCAACACAACCCCCCACUGCAGGCCGUCAGCAAACGGGCUGAAUGAAGGGCAGUCGUUAUCACAGCGAGAGGCCAACUGCCAGCCAUCCCACCCAUCCCUGAGACCCGUCUCUGCAAUGGAAACCCUGCCGGGGAACACAGCAUGCGCCCUGGCGGUGCUGCGGACGAAGGCUGUCCCCUUAGCGGUGAACACGAGGUGCAAAGCCCCUGCCAGCCGUGUGUGGACUUGCAGCGUGGAAUAUACAGCAAAAUGCUGAGCAGGGAGCGGAAACCAUGGACCCACAUCUUUGGAGGCCGACCCCGUGCCGUGCAUCCUCCAUAUGCAGCUCCCGGACCUCCCAGAACUCGGGGAGGGGGGGUUGUUACUGUCCCUCCCUCACAGAUGGGGAAA